rnacentral:rRNA from 1 species
GAACGCUAGCGACAGGCUUAACACAUGCAAGUCGAGGGGCAGCACGGGAGUAGCAAUACAACUGGUGGCGACCGGCGCACGGGUGAGUAACGCGUAUGCAACCUACCUAUCAGAGGGGAAUAACCCGGCGAAAGUCGGACUAAUACCGCAUAAAACAGGGGCACCGCAUGGUGAUAUUUGUUAAAGAAAUUCGCUGAUAGAUGGGCAUGCGUUCCAUUAGGUAGUUGGUGAGGUAACGGCUCACCAAGCCGACGAUGGAUAGGGGAACUGAGAGGUUGGUCCCCCACACUGGUACUGAGACACGGACCAGACUCCUACGGGAGGCAGCAGUGAGGAAUAUUGGUCAAUGGGCGAGAGCCUGAACCAGCCAAGUCGCGUGAAGGAAAAGAAGGAUCUAUGGUUCGUAAACUUCUUUUGCAGGGGAAUAAAGUGCAGGACGUGUCCUGUUUUGUAUGUACCCUGAGAAUAAGGAUCGGCUAACUCCGUGCCAGCAGCUGC